AUACGUAGGGGGCGAGCGUUGUCCGGAAUGAUUGGGCGUAAAGGGCGCGUAGGCGGCUUUGCAAGUCAGUAGUGGAAGUCCAUUUUUCAAGGAUGGAAGUGCUACAGAAACUGCGGAGCUUGAGUGCAGGAGAGGUUAUCGGAAUUCCCGGUGUAGCGGUGAAAUGCGUAGAGAUCGGGAGGAACACCAGUGGCGAAGGCGGGUAACUGGACUGCAACUGACGCUGAGGCGCGAAAGUGUGGGGAGCAAACAGGAUUAGAUACCCUGGUAGUCCACACUGUAAACGAUGAAUGCUAGGUGUAGGAGGUAUCGACCCCUUCUGUGCCGCAGUAAACACAGUAAGCAUUCCGCCUGGGGAGUACGGUCGCAAGACUAAAACUCAAAGGAAUUGACGGGG
rnacentral:rRNA from 1 species